UAGGGAGAUAAUAUCAAAUCUGCACAUGAUGACUGCAACUUGUUCCAACUACCUGGCAACAUCUUCGUUGUUCAUUUCUGGAACGAUGGCAUCGCUACCUUGAAUUCUUUCCUGAUCUCUGCCUCUUCAGUUGCCUUUCACUUGCUGUGUUCCUUUUCUCCGGUUUGCUUUACGUCAAGGCUGACAACUCCCUUUUAUAAUCCUUCGUGAACUUUCUCUGUGUGUGACCGGCGGCUGUAGAGUUCUGGUCUGCUCUUUGUACAAGUGAAGAUGGCAAGAGGCAGUCCGAACUCUCCAGCUGGGAAUGUCUUCUCAGAACAUUUCCCAAACAGAGAUGUUGUUUCCUGUCCUGGAGACACACAUUCCCGAGUCACUCCUCCAGAGGGAGCCGAUGCCACAGACGCCAGCAUCGCUCUUUUCUAACAUGUCCCACCUGGAUUUCUCAGGGCAACUUAGUGUUUACAUCUGCUCCGUCCAAUUUUGCUAGCAGAUGCAAGGUGAUGUCUGCUUUCCCUUUCUAUCCUGCCUCAUUUGCCAUUUACUUCUCCCAUGAGGAGUGUCUCCAAUGGGACAUGGUUGACGUCACUUCUUUCUCACCUUCCCUGAAGCUCUGUGCCACGGAACCAAAUUCCCACGUUACUCUUCUCCUGGUCAGCCUCACCCCCAGCCCUCAUCAUCCGGAGAAAUGAAUCACAGGUCCCUCGGGAUCGUAUCAUUAUUUUUCAAGCAAUACAGCUCUCUGCUUGAGAACUAGCGAUAUGUUUUACGCUGUUGGAGGCUUUCUUGAAUCGAGACGGAUUUGGGCAGAUAAUAUUCUUACCUUAGCUUUUUCCUACUUUGUUUAUGAAAGGGAUUUUCAAAGUUACUUUUGUUUCUUAUGCCAAUAUGUUAUUUUCACAGAAGAGAGAAAACAAAAGCUUAUAUUUUUCUUCAGACUUCUGCUGGUGGUCCAGUAACCCGCUAAUUAUUCACGGUAUUCUUUCUCAGCAGAUUAGCUCAUCUGCUAUGCAGAGGAAACUGAUUUUAAUUUCCCUCUCUCCUACCUACUAACUUUCUUCGAAUAGAACCUUCCUCUGGAAACCAGCACCUGAUGGGAGAACAGUGGAGUCUGACCCUAACAGUCAAUUCUCCAAGAUGUAAGGACGUAUUUCUAGUUUGUGGCUUUGCCUCCAAUGAUCCGGUCAGUUAGAGGCAACCCUCCUGGGAAGUAUCUUUCCAAUGAGGAUUGCUAUAAACAUUCCUAGAGCACUCUGCUUGCCAGAAUAUUUAGGCAAAUCUGAAAAAAUAAAGAUCAAUAAAUAAAAAAAUCAAAACAAGCUUGUUGUUUGGUGACAUACACAAAUAUGUUUUUUUCACAUCUUUGGUAUAGUUUCACUUCUUCUUGAUAGCCCUGGAAUUCUAAUAAUCAAUUAUUUUAACAUUAGAUGAGAUAUAAAUGGUGAUUUUUAAUUCUGGCUUGAUAUAAACAGAUCUGAAAUCAUACUCUAGAAUAUUCCUAAACAAAUCUCUGAAGUCGGCAUAGUGGUUAAAAAUGCCGACCCUGGUGUUAGUUCUUCCCCCACCCCAUUUCUACUAUUUAAUCGCUGUAAUUUUGUGCAAGGUAUUUAAACCUCUGUGUUUUGUUUUCCUCUACUACUUAUUUCACACAUUAAUAUAGGUAAUUAGGUUAGAAAAUGCCAGGUACAUGGUAAGUGCCCAAUAAAUAUUGGCUCAUAUCAUUUUAAUAGCAGUUUAAUUUCAUGUCAUUAUUCUUCCUCAUAUAUAUGACUUCAUUGUAGUUAUCCAAUAAAGCUAUAUUUAUAGGUAACUGUCAGAUAAAACACUUAAAAUAAUCUAUUCUUGAACCUUAUUUCAUAUGAAGACAUAAAAUUAAAUUUCAGUAUAUUUGUGUGUUAUUCCAUGUGAAACGGGUAUUUGGGGUCAUUUGAAAAUUAAAAAAAAAAAACAUAAGCCCACAGGGACUAUACAAAGUUAUCUUUCCCUUAGACAACCUAGCUAUGUGAUGUCCGCUUUUGGAAUAGUUGAAAGUGAGUACAGCAAGGUGCCAUCUAUUCAGAGAGAUACAUACUAGAUAUGGGAGCCAUAAAUCAAAAUCUUACAUGCAGAUGCUUUGGUUGUUUUUGAAAUCUGUUUCUCAAAGGGGCAACUCUCAAUAUAGCACAUUCCAGGUGGAGCUGCAGUGGGUGGCCAUUGAUUAGACAUUAGUUAAGUAGUGAUUUUCUCAUAAGACACUACUUACAGAUGCUAUCUGUAAAGCAUCUUUAGUAGUGCAUGGAUUUUCUUUAGCACUAUCGUCAGGAAAGGUAGGAAGACAUCCUUAAAUUCUAAGAAAUAGUUUAAUAAAAGUAAGAGCAAUAUGAAUAUUUUCAGGUAGGAAAUAUGACUACCAAAUAGGAAAAAAAAAAAAUGUAUGCCAAAAGAAGAAAGACCGAUCACAAUGGGGGUGGAUAUCACAGUCACAGGGGAUUUUUCGGUUUCAUGACUGCCUUUCUUAGGUUUUCUCCUCAUGAAAACUGGCUCAAUGUUGUAGAAAAAUAAAACUGCUGAAAAUAAGAACUUUAGAAAACUUCCUUUGUGCUUUUUUUAGGUAUUCAAAGAGAGGCUGAAGAAUUUUGGACAGCAAAAUUUCAUUAACAUUUUUCUUAUGCAUUUAUAAAUACUGAUAUUUUCUCAGAGUGUCAUUUUUUAA